CCAGAGUAGACCCUAGAAAGAGGUUUUUGGCUCCUCCAAACAUCUUUUCCCUCAUUCUUCAACCCAGCCUAGCAUGCAGCCUUUAUAGCUCAUGGAGCCAUAUUUAUUUGCUUAAUUUGGAUGAUCUCCUGUAAUUCACCAAGAGUUUCAUGAACAUCUAUGAACCCUGCAGGUCUUGCUAUGUCUUGUUGACCCAGGAUCUGGCACAGGCUCAUCUUAGGGACCCAAAAAAGAAACCUGCUGAUUAUGGACCAGGUGAACAAUGACAAGAAGGGCUAUUACCUGGGGAAGUUUCAGAAGUCUAAGAAAGGUUUCCGGGCUUCAGCCAUCCUAUCAAUUCUGUGGUGAAUAAAUUAUUAUCCUUUAAUCUCAAUCUCAGUAUCAGGAUACUGGCUUGUCCUAGGUUCCUAGAAGAGUGCUUGGAACAUGCUUGGCCCUCAAUAGCCAUUUGUUGAAUGAAUGAGUGACAGUAUGGGAGAAGCAUCUAGGCUGUAUGGCAUCUGUGCACUUGCUUCCUUCUCUCCAUUUCCC